CCCAGGAGCGAGCCCAUGGUCUUCCGACGCGGGGCCAGGGGCGGGCCCCAGGAUCCGGAGCUUCGGGGGGGCCGAGUCCGGGUUUGGGGCCCGGGAGGCGGGGCCAGUUAGGUCGAGGGUCCCUGGGAUCGUCGGGUCAGGCCUUGGGCUAACGUAGGCACUCUCGCAGUUCCUCCGCCUUCAGGAAGGUCUUUUUAGCAGGGGCCUUACGGGUGCAUGCUUCGGUCCUGGAGGACUUAGGCUAGCCUCCUCUCCAUCAGCGCCACCCGUCUGGGGCCCGAAAGGAGGGAGCUUUCCCUCUGUCCCCCAGCCUUUGGACUGUCACCAAACAAGCCAUUCGUUCACCAAAUACUUUUUAAGCGCCUACCAUGUGCCUGACAAGGGAUAUGUAACGGUGAGAAAAACUAGGUGUGGUCCAGGCCCUUCAGGGACUCAGGGGCUCGUGGAAGAAGUGGAUAUUGAAGUACUUAUCACACAAAGGAGGAUAAAAGUACGAUAGCGAUAUCUACCACGAAGCUGUUGUUCCACACCAGAACCAAAUGAGCGCAAGAUCUGACAAAAAAAAAAGUCCCUGUAUCCUGAGAUGGAGUCACCUGAGAAUCCACAGCAAGUCCUAACCAGGGAUGGGUCUGGGUGAUUAAGGAAGAUUGGCUUCAGAACUGGGCCAGGGGCACUGCUUUGCUUUUGCUGUUUUGAUCAGCUCUCUGCCUGCAGGAGACGAGGAAAACCAAUGGGAACAGAAACUCCUAGAGGGCAGAGGCAUGCCUGCCAUCUUCAUCAUUGCAUUACCAUCACCCAACACUAUCAGGGGACCUGCCCUGAUAAUCAGACAUUUGAAAUUCUACAAUGAACUCAUCAGGGAUGCAAAUGAAAGUGCCUCUGCAGAGACAGAAAACCCGCAAUCGAGCAUCAUCGACUCGCAGGGUGAACAAAAUGGUGAUAUCAGAAGAACAGAUGAAGUUACAAUCCACCAAGGAAACUGCACAUGUGGAGAGUCAGGGAGAGGAAGAGAAAGAAAAAGAGACAGAGAUCAGAGAGAGACACAGAAAGUGAGACUGGGGAGAGAGAUAGUAUAAAAUAGAGAGAGAGAGAGAGACCGUAAGAGAAGGGAGACAAAGAGAUAAAAGGUGCGAGUGAGCAGGUGAGGAGAAAGACUGAAAACGAUGAGAAACAGCAACUAAGACACAAAGGAGGUGGGAGACUGCCCGGGUGCCACAGCACCCACACCGUCCUCUUGCCCCCGUCACUUGGGUUAAAACCACCGGAAAUUCCACUAUUGCAAAUUUUGUAUUAAUCCUUGUAUAUCUGUCCUUUCUAUUUUUAGUCUACAGUUGUAUCCAGCAGCUCCAGAGAGACAGCGACCAGCAAGAAGGGGCCAUGAUGAUGGUGGUGGUUUUUUCAAAACGAAAAGGGGGAUAUGUAGGGAAAAGAAAGAGAGAUCAGACUCUUACAGACUCUUACUGUGUCUACAUAGAAAGGGAAGACAUAAGAGACUCCAUUUGGAAAAAGACCUGUACUUUAAACAAUUGCUUUGCUGAGAUGUUGUUAAUCUGUAGCUUUGCCCCAGCCACUUUGCCCCAACCACUUUGACCCAGUCUGGAGCUCACAAAAACAUGUGUUGUAUGAAAUCAAGGUUUAAGGCAUGUAGGGCUGUGCAGGAUGUGCCUUGUUAACCAAAUGUUUGCAAGCAGUAUACUUGGUAAAAGUCAUCACCAUUCUCUUGUCUCAAUAAACCAGGGGCACAAUGCACUGUGGAAAGCCGCAGGGACCUCUGCCCUUGAAAGCUGGGUAUUAUUCAAAGUUUCCCCCCAUGUGAUAGUCUGAAAUAUGGCCUCGUGGGAUGAGAAAGGCCUGACGGUCCCCUAGCCCGACACCCAUAAAAGGUCUGUGCUGAGGUGGAUUAGUCAAAGAGGAAAGACUCUUGCAUUUGAGAUAGAGGAAGGCCACUGUCUCCUGCCUGCCCCUGGGAACUGAAUGUCUCGGUAUAAAACACGAUUGUACAUUUGUUCAAUUCUGAGAUGGGAGAAAAACCGCCCUAUGGUGGGAGGUGAGACAUGUUUACAGCAAUACUGCCUUGAUAUUCUUUACUCCACUGAGAUGUUUGGGUGGAGAGAAACAUAAAUCUGGCUUACAUGCACGUUCAGUCAUAGUACCUUCCCUUGAACUUCAUUAUGACAUAGAUUCUAUUGCUCACAUGUUUGUUGCUGACCUUCUUAUUAUCACCCUGCCCUCCUACUACAUUCCUUUUUGCUGAAAUAAUAAAGAUAGUAUUCAAUAAAAACUGAGGGAACUCAGAGACCGGUGCCAGUGCAGGUCCUUGGUAUGCUAAGCGCCGGUACCCUGGGCCCACUGUUGUUUCUCUAUACUUUGUUUCUGUGUCUGAUUUCUUUUCUGUCUCUCAUCCCACCCAACAAGAAAUACCCACAGGUGUGGAGGGGCAGGCCACCCCUUCAGUAUGAG
rnacentral:lncRNA from 1 species